GAGAAAAAAAAAGGUCGAUAUAUAAUUUUCUUUAGAAUGAUGAAAAAAGAUUCGAUAAUUUUCUUUAGAGAGCAAAAAAAAAGGUUCGAUAUUGAGUUUUCUUUAAAGCGAGAUAAAAUAAAAAAAGGGUUCGAUAGUUUUCUUUAGACAGCAAAAAUAAAAAGAGUUCGAUAUUUAGUUUUCUUAAAGCGACAUAAAAAAGGUUCGAUAGUUUUCUUUAGACAGCAAAAAUAAAAAGAGUUCGAUAUUUAGUUUUCUUAAAGCGACAUAAAAAAGGUUCGAUAGUUUUCUUUAGACAGCAAAAAUAAAAAGUUCGAUAUUUAGUUUUCUUAAAGCGACAUAAAAAAGGUUCGAUAGUUUUCUUUAGACGGCAAAAAUAAAAAGUUCGAUAUUUAGUUUUCUUAAAGCGACAUAAAAAAAGGUUCGAUAGUUUUCUUUAGACAGCAAAAAUAAAAAGAGUUCGAUAUUUAGUUUUCUUAAAGCGACAUAAAAAAGGUUCGAUAGUUUUCUAUAAACAGCAAAAAAAAAAAAAAAGUUCGAUAUUGAAUUAAAGCGAAAUAAAAAAAAGCUUCGAUAUAGUUUUCUACCGCGAGUAAAAAAGAAAAAAAAAGUGUCCCUCGAUAGCUUGACUUCAUCGAGGAGAAAAUGUAUAGAGAAGACAGGAUUUACGAAGACAGGACUCCACGUCAUUGAUGUUGCCAUGGUGAGGACAGACAGACAGACAGACAGACAGACAGAUGGACGUGACCCGAAAUAGAACAAAUAGAUACAGUGGAGUGAAGGACUGUUUGUGUGUGUGUGUGUGUGUGUGUGUGUGUGUGUGUGUGUGUGGAGUGAAAACGGGGCUUGUGGUACUGAAGGAGAACUGGAACAAGAGGAGAUGGAAGGGAAGGACUUAGGAAAAAAUAUAUAAAUGGGCGUUAAAGAAAAUGGGAAGAAAUUGUAAAAGAUAAUGGAUUGAAAAUAAGGAUAAAAAAAUAAAGAGUAACUGAAACAAGAUUAGAAGGAAGGGAAGGACUUUGAGGAAUAAAACAUAAUUGGAAGAACUGUUUGCUUGUAUAUACUGAACCAAGAAGAAAAUGGAAGUAGGAAAUAAUAGUGGAUUGGAAAUAAGGAUAAAAAAAUAAGGAGUAACUGGAACAAGAUUAGAAGGAAGGGAAGGACUUAGAGGAAAAAAAACAUAAUUGGAAGAACUAUUUGCUUGUAUAUACUGAACCAAGAAGAAAAUGGAAAUAGGAAAUAAUAGUGGAUUGGAAAUAAGGAUAAAAAAAUAAGGAGUAACUGGAACAAGAUUAGAAGGAAGGGAAGGACUUGG